GGAGUGGGGGGGUGCGGGGGGAGGAGGUCAGACUCAGCUGGCUUCUCAUUUGUUUUCCAAAGGAGAAAAUGGAAAAGGCACAAAGUGCUGCCAACAAAUGCUACUCUGUUGUCCUGGAGAGAGAGAGGGAUAGAGGUGGUCACCUGGGCUGGGGACAAGAGAGCCACCUGGAAAACCUCUCCCAGCUCUCACCUGGAGAAUCACCCCACAGAAGCAUCAGAGCCCAAAGGAUUUUUGAAUGGGAGGUGGAGGAAAUUUCUUCCUGAGAUGGGGAAACUGAGGCACAGAUGUGGUCUUCUGGAGGUCGGGAAGCCAUCAGUGGAGAGUGGUCUCUGGCUCUACCCCUCUACCCACCUUUGUCCAGGGCCCCUGCCCACUGUUAAUGUUCUGGUAUAUUUCCCUCCAGGCUUUUUCUCCGUGUGUGUGUGUGUGUGUGUGUGUGUGUGUGUGUGUGUGUGUGUGUGUGUGUGUGUGUAUUUUAAAUAACAUUGAGAUGGUGCAGAAUGUAUGCUUCUUGCUUCUUUCAUUUGAUGUUAUACCCAAAUACUUCUCCAUAGCAUUUCAAAGAUUUCAGUAAGUGCAUGAAUCUCUGGGCUUUCCUGUGGUUGGACCUUGAGGUUGUCGCCAGUUUUCCCUGCUGUGGAAAAGGCUGAGUGGGCGAGUGGGCGUCCUCAUGCUGGGAGCCUGGGCUGCUCCCGGGGUCACUCCCUUAGGCUAGAACAUGCUCCUCUCUCCGGGUUCCUAGAUAAUCCCACACCUCUUCCUUCUGGGGUUCCUGGGGGGCGGGAAUCCUGUCUGCUUGAGAGACCUUGAGCAAGGUACUUAACUUUUGAGCAAGGUCCUUAACUAUGCCUCAUCAUCUUCCUCUGUAAAACAGGGUAAUAAUAGGGCCUACCCAGGAGGCUUAUUGUGAGGUUAAAAUAAUACCUGCAGAGCGCUUAGUAAGCAGCGCAGAGGAAUCCCUCAGGAGAUCUUCUCCUCCUGGUUUAUGCUUUUGCUCUCUUCCUGUCCUCAGGCCCAACGAGGUUGUGUAAUUUGCUCACAGUCCCACAGCAGGUCAGUGCCGGCACUGAGAUUUGGGCCCUGGCCCCACCAACCUCUUUGUCUUGAGAACCUAAGCACACAUGACUUCUCACUGAGCCUUGCUUUACCCACGGAAGAGCUCAUGAAAUUAGGCCCUGGAAGUGUUUUGUAAACUCUAAGGUACUGGGUGGUUCCACUUAUUGCCAAUAAUAAUGACAAGACUAGAAAGACCCUGAGUUUUAAAGGCCGAAACUCUAGAAGUUCAGAGGAGGGGAGUGGGCAGGUCUGUGCUACCAGAAAGACUUUCUGGCGGUGGUGGCCUUGUCCUGGGCCUCAGGAGAGUAUACCCUGGGUUUGGCUCAGGCUGACCUUCAGCUGUGAAUCUUAUCCACUGCGCACACUUGUGCACAUGCACGCGCGCGCGCACUCACACGUAACUAUCGCUGUCCAGGCAUUAGGGCUGGUCACCAUUGGUGGAUAAAUUCAGUAAGGCCUAAAAGCCCAAGCUGCUGUUGGUCAGCCAGAGGCAGAGACCACUUCUUCCAGAGGCUAGGGUGGAGGGAUAAUUGAACGGGCAUGGUCACUGCCCCUGGACAUCCUGACCACCCUAUGCUUGCCUGGUGUGAUGGGAGGGGGCUUCCCUCGGCUCUGGGUUAUGCCAGAGUCCCCAGGGGCAGGGCUGGAGUGACCGACUGAUGGGUAGAACUUACUCUCCCCUCAGAGUGUCACCCGGGUCCUGGAACAGGGUGGGAGUAGGGGAGGUAGGGGCCACAGUGCAACCCAGCUGGUUGGGCCUCUCUGGACAAGCUACAGUGGGAGAGCUCCAGAGGCCUGGUCUGGUCUGGUUCUAGCUCAGCUGACUGUCUGCCACCCUGGGGGUCAUGAGACAUUUCCUCUUUGAGCCUCUGUGCCCAUAUAUCAAAUGCGUAGAAAUGGUCCCUUCUCUGCCUCCCUCCUUCAAGAGAGGAUUGAACAUGGACAUUCUAAACUAAUCAGUGCACAUUAAUUACACUGAUACUUGCUUUCAUUCAUCCUCAAAUUCACAAAUGUGAACUGAGCACUUAACUGUGGGUCAGUCUCUGUUGUAGGCAUGGAAGCUGCUGGAACAAGGCAGAAGUGCACCCUCCCUUUUGGAGCUCACAGACUUUGUUAUAUGUCCCUUAGUACCUGGGCAGCUUGCCUGAGUGCAAGCCUGACAUAUAGUAGGUCUUUCAAUAUGCCAAAAAGGAGGCUGCUGAUUGGGGAAUUAGCACCAGGCAGUUUGGUCAGUGCCCUGGUCUAUAGCAGGGAUAGGUCAGGGAGGGUGGAGGACUUAAAAGAAACUUCCAGGAAGAGGCAGAGCAUAAAAGUUAGAUGGCGUUUAAACAGGGCCAAGAGCAAGGAGGGCAGCCCAGGCAGAGGAGCAGUCUACACAAAGAUGGAGAGGUGGGGAGGAGACUGGGGUUGGACAGUGGUGAAGAGACCAGCCUGGCUAGAGGAGAGGCUGGGAGGUCACACACGUAGGCUGCUGGGGGCUGAUUGCACUUCAGGCUUCCCUAGGUCUCUGGUGGCAUGAAUAGAAUUUCUGGCACUAUGGUAAGUGGGGAAGACAGCCUCUUUUGGCUGUGGGGCUUCAAGAGCCCCCAGGAUUUAUCUUCAGCCGAGGCAGGCUCUGGCCCCCUCCUUCCUGCCUCAGCUCCUUGGGGCUCUGGCUGAGGCUGACCUGGCCUUUCCCAGGGUGCCUGGCCCACAGCCCAGUGAGUCAUCUUCUGCACCAGAGGCAGGACACCCCAUCCCACCGACAACACAUGACUGCAGCCCUUCCCCCUGCUCCUGGGUCUGAGGGAGGGAGAGAACAAGAGGGGCUGGAAACAGACCCUGGAUAACUUCCGUUCCCACGAUCCCAGCCCCCCUGCAGGCUGGGGAACUGGGUGGAGGAUAGGGAAGGGAUCCCUGCUUUCCAGUGCUCUGUGCAGGUCAGGAAUCAGAGGCUGAACGGUGGUGGUCCUGGGCCACAGGGCCUGAUUCCCUGAGCACUGGUCUGGUGCUGAGCCAGUGUUAGACAUUUUGAAUGAAAUAACUUUUAGAGCUGGGAGAGGAGGGCCCCUGGAGGUCAUCUCAUUCAUAGGUUUUAAGCCAGGGCUGGGACCACAGGCCAGGCCAGUAUGUAGGCAGAAGUGUGCAUAGGGGAAGGUGGGUGCAUUUCCUGGGAGCCCUAAAGCAGGAGUUGCCAGAUUUAGCAAGUCCUACCUACCCUAAGGCCUCAUGGGAUUACCAGUGGGGUCCUUCUCGACUGCCAAGGGCAGGGCAACCUCCCCUGCUCAGACUCAGAUGUGGGACCCAGAAGAUCUGGGUUCUGGUUUCUCUGCCUGUAAAAUGGGGGUGACAGUCCCAGCCUCUUGGGCUGAGAGGAUGAUUGCAUUCAAAGCUUCUGAGCUCCUAAGAUGUUUUUCACAUCUGUUGGGGGUCUGUCUAUCCAUCUACUUCUCAAGCCCCACCUCCUGCUUCCCGCUAUUAUCCAUAAUGAGAAACUUUUCCUUCCCAGCCUGGAAGGUCCAGCUGUAUCUUCUUGAAAUUGGGAGGGAGGGGGGCGGAUCUCAGAGAAGAAAGAAAGGGAAAAAACCCACAUUAAAAAAAAAACCCACCAGUUAAAUUCAAACCACAUGCACCACAGCCCCUGCCAUGUGGGCCUCUGCUGCCACCUGUGGGCGUCUGGUGGAAGUGCAGUUCUUGGGGCUUCAGCUUCCUCACUGGAGCCAUAGGCUUAAUCCUGAAGCCUGAAAUCAGGAAGGAAGGUCAAGCUGUCCAUCCUCCACCUCUGAGCAUGACCUCACCCCCACCACCUCUGCUGCCAGGAAGCCUGGUGGGGAAUUUAGAAUCCAUCUACACCUUCCCUUCUCCCCCAUUUGUUUACAGAGGGGGAAACUGAAUCCCAGAGUGGAGAGGAAUUUGGCUAAAGUUGCAAAGCAAGACAGUCAAUAGAUAAGUAUUGUACACCUACUGUAUGUCAAGAGACCUGGUCUCUGCUCUUAUGGAUCUUCUGGUUGUGGAAAGCAGGGAGCAGACAUUGAGACCGUCCUAUUUCCAUCUAACUCCCAGCCAUCCAUGGAAGAGAAUACAGCCUCCUACCUUCUCAUUCAAGGUGCUCUGGGCUUGGCUUGACUUCUUGUUAAUGUGCUCUGUGACCCUGGUGAGGUCACUCAGCUUCUCUGAUAUGCCAGUUACUUGGGGUCAAAUCCCAGCUUUGCCACAUCCUGACUUCAUAACCUCAGGCAAGUUGCUUUGCUUCCUGGAGCCUUUGUUUCCUCAUCUGUAAAAUGGCCAUAACAGGAAUACAUAACUCAGAGGACUGGUGUGAGGACUAAAUGAGAUAAUACAUGAGAAACAGUGCCUCACUAAACAUUAGCCAGCUGUAUACAUGAGCUCCCACCAAGGAUACAGUGAGCACACCUCAUUCCCAGAGGUCUAGGAGGGGGCUGGGAGCGCAGUGGGUACGGGGGUCCCUUCUGGGCUAAGAGUGCACCAGCAAGGUUCAGCAGUUAGAAGUCGGGCCUGAGUCCCAGCAUAAGGAAUGAGGGCUACCACCUCCAUCCUCCUUUCAGCCAGCAGGGACAGUUUCUGGAAGGAGUGGUGAGGUUGGAGUCCCAGCUGGACCCCUCUGGGGCAAUAGAUGAAAUCUAGCCUGUGCAGAAAUCAUCCCCUUCCUUCAUUUCUCCUGUCAGCAUAUGAAGGACCCUGGGUUCACAUUCCGUCUCUUCCACUCACUGCCUGUGUGACCAUGGCUCCUCCACCUCCCUGAUCCUCAGUUUCCUCAGCUAGGCACUUCUCACUGAGAGUCAUGCAGUGUGGUCGGAUAGUGCUGGGCUGGAAUUACCUUGAAGGCAUCCUCACUCACAAAUUGGUGAUUAAUGCUGGCAUUUGGCUGGACCUCAUCUGGCCUGUCAGCUGGCAUACCUACACAUGGCCCCUGCAUGUGGCCUGGGCUUCCCCACAACGUGGAGGCUGGGUUUCAAGAAUGAGCAAGCCAAGAGAGCAAGAUGGAAGCACAUGGCAUUUUUAUGACCUAGCUUUGGAUGUCACAUAGUAUCAUUUCUGCUGUGCUCUGUGGUCAAGGCAGUCACAAAGCUUUACCCAGCUUCAAAGGGAGGGGACCUGGACCUCGUCUUUCUGUGGGAAGAGUCAAUACCACAUUGUAAGAAGAACAUGUGGGCCAGGCGCAGUGGCUCGCGCCUAUAAUCCCAGCACUUUGGGAGGCCGAGGCAGGAAGAUUGCUUGAUCCCAGGAGUUCAAGACUAGGCUUAAUCUCUAAAAAAUAUUUUUAAAUUAGCUGGGCGUGGUGGUGCGCACCUGUACCCCCACCACUCAGGAUGCUGAGACAGGAGGAUCGCUUGAGCCCAGGAGUUUGAGGUUGCAGUGAGCUGUCACGCCACUACACUCCAGCCUGGGUGACAGAGUGAGACCCUGUCUCAAGAAAAAAAAAAAAAAAAAAGCAUGUGAGAUGAUAGCUAUCUUCAAAACAUACAGUCUACCUGAAGAUGAUUAUGAGGAAAACAGCUCAUUGUAGCCUUGACAUCCCAGAGCUCAAGUGAUCCUCCUACUUCAGCCUCCUGAGUAGCUGGGACCACAGGUGUGUGCCACCAGGUCUGGCUAUUUUUAGUAUUUUUUGUAGAGAUGAGGUCUCCCUGUGUUGCCCAGGCUGGUCUCGAACUCCUGGGAUCAAGUGAUCCUCCUGCCUCAGCCUCCCAAAGUGCUGGGAUUACAGGCGUGAACUACCACACCCAGCUAUUUUUUAUUAUUAUUGAAGUGACCCCUUCACUUUCAGUCUCUGCCAUUGAACCCUAUGGACCAUCACCCUCACCAGUUGUGCAGUCACAUGUCCACAGAAGACCCCAACAGGAGUGUACACAGACACACAGAGGAGUCCACACAGAGAGGACACAGGUCGUGUCACUCAUAAUCCCACCCCAGGUGCAUACACGCACCCACCUAAGCAGGGCACUGUCCCCAUAGCAGGAAGAUCCUGAGGCUCUAAGGAGCUCUCCUUCCCAUUCCCAAAGCACAUUCCCCAGAAUUAUGGAGCCCACCCUGAGCAGCCAGUCCCCAGGGAGCCCUGUGGCUUGGACACUUCCCUUCUAGCUGCCUCAGAGGCCUGGGAACUCUGUGGAGCCUUGAGAGGCUCCUCUUUCCAGAAGAGAGGGUCUCUAGGAAACAGGACCUGACCAGGGAAGGCAGGGGGAAGGGAGGAGAGGAGAGAAGAUAGGGGGAUGGGAAGAAGACAGAGUCCUCAAGCAGGAACAGAUGGAGAGACUGAGGCCCCAAGAAGUGAAGUGUCCUGCCCAAGGUCACUUCCCCAGUAAGUGGCCAAGCCAGGAUUUGGGAUUGAGCUUUCUGGCUCCAGGGCCUGCCUUCUUAAUCUCUCUACCCAAAAAGUCCCUCUUUUGGAACUUUCAUCUCCUUGAUGAACUGAGCACCUGAGGAAGGCAGCGGCUGUCAGGGAAAUGGAUAGCCCAUUAGGUUGGGAACAUCCCGUACCAACCCUAUGCUUGUGGACUUUGGUGGGGUCAGGAGCAUCAGACAGUCUGUGUGGGCCAUUCGCCAGGGCCGAGUUCCCAGGGAAGAGGAUCUUCUUUGACUCUAGCAUUGCCUGUGGAUGGCAGUUUGUUUACCACCUAAACCUUCAGGAGAAUCUGUUCAUGUCACUGUCUUGGAACAAAGGAGGCUGAAGAAAGGCAACCACCACACCAGGGAGGUGGGGGUUGGGGGAGCCCAGCUGUGUGCACCAGGCCAGGGGAGGUGGAGUGGGGCUCUCCCCACUGGGGAGAGGGUGGGGUUUAGGAGCCUGGGCCCUGGAGGUGGCUGGUAGAACUGGGUUCUACCUCUUACCAGCCAGGUGACCUCUCUGAGCCUCAGUUUCCUAGUUUGUAAGAAGGGAGAGUAAUAAUAAUAGAGUUCUUGAUGUGGGGCUGCUGUGGGGAUUAAAGGAGCCAGGACGUGUAAAGUGAUGGUAGGGUGCCUGGCCCCUGAGAAUUGUCCAAACAGCAUUAGUGGUGUGGCAAUUCUGAGAUUAUGGGGUUCCUAGUCUUCCAGUUUGGGCAGCUCUGGGGCCCAGGCACUCUCUUGACAAAGAUUUAAUAGGGUUGUGCCUCCACUCCCAGGAGCCUGAUGAGGCCUGCUGCCCCAGUACCGGCAUUUCUCCUUCACCACCUGCAUCAUGCUUGCCAUUUCUUUCUCAGUUCCUGUCUUCCUGUGUAGACUGUGGUGCCCAGUAGGGCACAGACCUCUUUCCUUACCUUUAAAUCCCCAGCACAGUGCUUGGCAUCUAAUAGGUGCUCUAUAAGUAUUUAUUGAACUAAUCAACUAAUGAAUAAAAUAAAAAUGCAAUUGAUUACUCAUGCAUUAAA